rnacentral:rRNA from 1 species
GACGGGGGGGGCAAGUGUUCUUCGGAAUGACUGGGCGUAAAGGGCACGUAGGCGGUGAAUCGGGUUGAAAGUGAAAGUCGCCAAAAAGUGGCGGAAUGCUCUCGAAACCAAUGCACUUGAGUGAGACAGAGGAGAGUGGAAUUUCGUGUGUAGGGGUGAAAUCCGUAGAUCUACGAAGGAACGCCAAAAGCGAAGGCAGCUCUCUGGGUCCCAACCGACGCUGGGGUGCGAAAGCAUGGGGAGCGAACAGG